rnacentral:rRNA from 1 species
AAUCAACGCUGGCGGCGUGCCUCAGACAUGCAAGUCGAACGCUGCUGUUCGCCUUCGGGUGGACAGCGGAGUGGCGCACGGGUGAGUAACACGUAGGUAAUCUACCUUUGGGUGGGAAUAACAGCCGGAAACGGCUGCUAAUACCGCAUAAUGCAGCGGCAUCACAUGAUGACAGUUGUUAAAGCGAGGGAUCGUAAGACCUCGCGCCUGAAGAGGAGCCUGCGGCAGAUUAGGUAGUUGGUGAGGUAACGGCUCACCAAGCCUGCGAUCUGUAACCGGCCUGAGAGGGCGGUCGGUCACACUGACACUGACAUACGGGUCAGACUCCUACGGGAGGCAGCAGUCGGGAA